rnacentral:rRNA from 1 species
CUUCUUGAGGCUUCAGCUCCUUCUUGAUUUGUUGAAUGGUGGUGCAUGGCCGUUCUUAGUUGGUGGACCGAUUUGUCCGAUUAAUUCUAAUAACAUAUGAGACUCGAGCCUGUUAAAUAGAUGUGGCGUUCCCACCACCUUACGACUUUCUCGGAGGAAGAAGCAGCUCCUAGUCCUACGAAGCACAGCAAUAACAGAUCUGUGAUGCCUUUAGAU